rnacentral:rRNA from 1 species
UUCCGAGACAGGUGCUGCAUGGCUGUCGUCAGCUCGUGCCGUGAGGUGUGGGUUAAGUCCCGCAACGAGCGCAACCCUAUUGCCAGUUGCUACCAGGUAAUGCUGGGCACUCUGGUGAGACUGCCCCGGUUAACGGGGAGGAAGGUGGGGACGACGUCAAGUCAUCAUGGCCCUUACGCCUAAGGCUACACACGUACUACAAUGGCGCAUACAAAGGGCAGCGAUACCGCGAGGUGGAGCCAAUCCCAAAAAGUGCGUCCCAGUCCGGAUUGCAGUCUGCAACUCGACUGCAUGAAGUUGGAAUCGCUAGUAAUUCGAGAUCAGCAUGCUCGGGUGAAUGCGUUCCCGGGCCUU